GAUGAACGCUAGCGGGAGGCCUAAUACAUGCAAGUCGAGCGAGAAGGUUUUUUCGGAAACUGGAAAGCGGCGAACGGGUGAGUAACGCGUACGCAACUUACCCCUGAGUGCGGAAUAGCCCUGGGAAACUGGGAUUAAUACCGCAUGGUUAGUAGACCUGGCAUCUGGUUUACUAUAAAGCUUCGGCGCUCAGGGAUAGGCGUGCGUUCCAUUAGCUAGUUGGUGAGGUAACGGCUCACCAAGGCGAUGAUGGGUAGGGGCGUGAGAGCGUGGCCCCCCACACGGGUACUGAGACACGGACCCGACUCCUACGGGAGGCAGCAGUAAGGAAUAUUGGACAAUGGACGGAAGUCUGAUCCAGCCAUCCCGCGUGCAGGAUGACGGCGCUACGCGUUGUAAACUGCUUUUGACAGGAAGAAACGCCUGAAUUUUAAUUGGGCCUGACGGUACUGUAAGAAUAAGCACCGGCUAACUCCGU
rnacentral:rRNA from 1 species